AUGCAUCACUGCACAUUCGAUGAAAAAUGCCUCAUAUUGGAGGGGCACAUCUUUUAUCUGAGAUUCUCACAAAUUCAGCAGGGUUUUUCAAAUUUGUUGGGUGUAUUUCUGUGGGAAAACGAGCUGUCCAUGAGUUUGGCAAAAACAAUAAAAAAACUUACGAGAAGCGCCACUUGGGUGUUGAACAACACUUAUAAAAGUGGGGUUUGGAUUGGCGAAACCAGGUUGUCCAGGGAAUGGUUGCGCAGAUUGUGGGUAUGCAGGGUAUCCAGGAUAUCCUGCCUGAGGCUGGUUAGAGUAAGGAGGAGGAGCUGAGGGCAUGGCAGUUACAUGAGCUGCCGCUGGUCCUGUGUUUGAGUCUGACGGCUCGCUUUGUCCUUUCAUCUGAAAAAUUUUCCGACGCCAAUUAAUAAGUGGUUGAAAUUCAUUCAGCUUUGAAAAUUUAAAAAUAUUCACAGCUCUACAGCACAAGUUGGGCUCAGGGUGGAGACAUUAAUUGUUGUAAUUAUUUAUGUUUGUGUUUGUUUUAACGAAUAAAUUUAUCUGUCUAUCUAUCUAUCUAUCAAUAAAGCACGAAAUCUACAAUGUUCAACGGACCAUUUUUGAUAUUAUUUUUACAAUUUACAUGAUUAAAUUAAACCAUCUACCUAUAAAAUUUAAAUACCAACAACCACUCUCUCUACCCGAAUGAACAACACCUCUCUAAUUUGGAUGUUAGUGUUCACAGGAUAAUCUAGUCAAAAAACAAUAGGUAAAUUUAUGAGGAAUCAACGAACACUUCUUUGGGGUUGGCUUUUGCUUUGAACCUUCAGCCUUUUUGAGCAGGAGACUUUGAAACAAUUUUUUUCUAGCUUUCCAUCUAAGUAAUUAAAACUUGGUUUUCAUCCAACAUUUAAUGCAUUUUUGGUUUUCUUGUGGAUCACACUGUUUAGAUUUGCAUCAAAUUCUGUUAGGAUUCCACCCAGGGCAAAUAUGGAUUGUUUUUUUGAACUUUUAAGGGCAGUAUGAUUCAAUUGCGAAAUAUCAAAUGGUGCAAGUAAUGACUAUAACAUCUAAAAAUCAAUUUUCAGCCUGAAAUCAAAUAAACAAACAAUAUGCAUGCAUCAUGUAUUCUUGCAAGCUGUAUUACGCACAGGGUGCUUGUGAAACAAAUCACAAAAAAGCCUAUCACAAACUUAUAAACAUGCUCUGUCCCCAUAAAUUCCCCUCUGAAAGGUAGAUGCCUGGUGAAUUUUGAUUCGCUUCCUAAGGUAGAUAUUGUUCAGAAUGCGACAGUUACUACCGAGGAUCCUAAAUUCAAUCUAACAGAGAUGAGAAACAAUCCAUGAACGGUGCUACUUCCAUAUCAUCGGAGACUGAUUACUCAUUUAGGUACUUCCAUGAUCCACAUUCAGAAUUAUGGCUGCUAUCGUAGUGUCAAGAACAAUGAAGAUGACCUAGAUUGAUUUCAUCCUACCUCAGGCUGUGUAAUGUGAGGUGCGGGCGCUCUCAGAUCAAGAAUCUCCAGUAGAAGUACCGAUUCUAUCUGGGGGACUGAUUGUUAAAUGAUGAAUCACAGUGGCUCUGCAUCAAAGUCGCUGACAUUCCCUUCGGAUAAUCAAGUAUCCACACCGCCAAUGAAUGACAUUCAUCAAAAACUGGUUAGAGCUUUAGCUAAUGAUCCCUCUCCACCUGAUGCAUUUAGUAAGGGACAAUACAGUGAAAAAUCGGAACUGAUGGGUAACCUGACGCAACAGAAUAAGUACAUAUUGCCAAGAUCUAGAGUAUACUUGAGGUUAUACUUGCUGUGCGUUAUGAUAAGACUUACCCUCACUUUUACAGCAAACAGUUCUUACAAUUUAGAAACAUGAGGACAGAGCUUGUUAAGACUAGGGGUGCUGAAGAACAAUCAAUGAUGAACUAUGUCCGCACAGUGAAAAGUAAAAGAAUGGUACGAUACUUUUCGAGCAGAUAAGAGCAAACAGGUGUGUGAUGAUAAAAAGGGAAGGCAGAGCAUAUUAUGGAUGAUGAUUAGCUCCUCGUACUAUUGUAAUGUAUACUUACAAUUGAUAAUAAUGGUAAUAACUUGCGUAAACAUACCUUUGGAUGCUAAAAUAUGUACGUACGUUUCAAUGACGCCACACAAAUUUCUUCUGAGAAAUACCGAAAGCAAGAUCAGAAUCGGUGAAAUGCCACUUGAGAAUAACUUAUCACAAGGUUACUUGCAAUCGUCACGCGCUCGGAUGACUCAUACUCUGGAAAAACGCUGAGGGUUUCAAUUUUCAAUCGAACACAAAAGAAUUAAAUGAGAUAAUGAGAUGGAGAUUCUUGCUAUCUUAAAUUAAACAAACCAUUGUGCUACGUUAUACACUUACAGCUGAUAAUAAAUAAUGUCGGUAAUGGAAAUGGCCGACCUGAAAAAACGUAUUGUCUAAAAUGUUACAAUCUCUUGGGUCUAAAAAAGGUUUACGUCUAAAGUGUUAACGUCUAGAACCAUUGGGUUAUUGGGUCUACUCUACCUGUGUACGGGAGAGUAUUGCCUGUCUGUGCCGCUCUCUGAUUGGUUCAUCAGUUUUAAGCUAUCAUGGAGCGCCAAAGUUGGAAUGUAAACAAACCCGACCAAGAGGAGCACGUAUUAUUGGCAGAAGUUGGGUAUAAAAAACUUUCUAUCACACCCAAAAUCACGUUUAGAACUUUGUAGAAAUUUUCCACCAUCUUGUUUGUUUAUUGUUUAUUACAUUGGGCCAAUAUCUCAUCUCAAACCGAUUCAAAAUGGCCCAAAAUAGGCACCUACGUUAUAAGUCAAUGGAUUAGUUUGAAACUCGGUAUGUAGGGGUAUUUCCGCACAAUAAAAAACGCAUUUGACACUAGAUUAUACCAAAUAAACCCCUGAAAAUUUCAAAAUGGCUG
rnacentral:lncRNA from 1 species